rnacentral:rRNA from 1 species
AACCCUGACGCAGCAACGCCGCGUGGGUGAUGAAGGUCUUCGGAUUGUAAAGCCCUGUUUUCUGGGACGAUAAUGACGGUACCAGAGGAGGAAGCCACGGCUAACUACGUGCCAGCAGCCGCGGUAAUACGUAGGUGGCGAGCGUUGUCCGGAUUUACUGGGCGUAAAGGGUGCGUAGGCGGAUGUUUAAGUGGGAUGUGAAAUCCCCGGGCUUAACCUGGGGGCUGCAUUCCAAACUGGAUAUCUAGAGUGCAGGAGAGGAAAGCGGAAUUCCUAGUGUAGCGGUGAAAUGCGUAGAGAUUAGGAAGAACACCAGUGGCGAAGGCGGCUUUCUGGACUGUAACUGACGCUGAGGCACGAAAGCGUGGGUAGCAAACAGGAUUAGAUACCCUGGUAGUCCACGCCGUAAACGAUGGAUACUAGGUGUAGGGGGUAUCAACUCCCUCUGUGCCGCAGUUAACACAAUAAGUAUCCCGCCUGGGGAGUACGGUCGCAAGAUUAAAACUCAAAGGAAUUGACGGGGGCCCGCACAAGCAGCGGAGCAUGUGGUUUAAUUCGAAGCAACGCGAAGAACCUUACCUGGACUUGACAUCCCUUGCAUAGCCUAGAGAUAGGUGAAGCCCUUCGGGGCAAGGAGACAGGUGGUGCAUGGU